GACGAACGCUGGCGGCGCGCCUAACACAUGCAAGUCGAACGAGCGAGAGAGAGCUUGCUUUCUCAAGCGAGUGGCGAACGGGUGAGUAACGCGUGAGGAACCUGCCUCAAAGAGGGGGACAACAGUUGGAAACGACUGCUAAUACCGCAUAAGCCCACGACCCGGCAUCGGGUUGAGGGAAAAGGAGCAAUCCGCUUUGAGAUGGCCUCGCGUCCGAUUAGCUAGUUGGUGAGGUAACGGCCCACCAAGGCGACGAUCAGUAGCCGACCUGAGAGGGUGACCGGCCACAUUGGGACUGAGACACGGCCCAA
rnacentral:rRNA from 1 species